GCCCAGCUGUGGGCUGUGAAUAGACAGAUUUAUGCCAAUCUACCAAGGAGAGCUGGCAGGGGCAGGGGCCGCAGGCCGAGGCCCAGAGGGGCCGUAACAAAAAA